GGCUGGGCUGGAGGCGGCCGUCUGGAGCGUGCUCACUGUCUGCCGCAAGUUUCGCCCGGAGUGGGAAAGUUGGGCGCGGCCCGGCAGGACCCUGUCAGGCACAACUUCAAGACAUUCAAGAGUACUUUGGAGUGAACUGGCAGUGAGCCUUGCACUACAAUGGUGGCAAUAACACUGGCUGUCCUCUGGAGAUGCUGAAGCUCAGCUUUAUUUUGAACUUCUUUCUUAGACGUUCCAACUUUUUCACAAAGGAUUUAACACUGAUUUGGAUUCAUAUGGUAUACAAUAGUCAUGGAUAUGGAUUUUUUCUUCUCAUCACUUGACAUCUGCAUGUUUCCAGCAGUCAGUGAAGGAGUCAGUGUGAGAUCUGCUGACAUUUGGUCUGUUUUCCAGAGCUCUGAGUGACAGGUAUUGUAAACAUCCUACACUCUCAGCUGUGGAAACUAAGAAAGCUGGGAGAAGGCUGUUUACUCUUCCUGCCUUGGAAAUCGUCCAGAGGGCAAUGAUGGAAUAUUGUGAGCUCUGUUUUGAUUGUAUUUCUGACAACCUGUAUUUCAUACUUUACAUUAUAGUGUCAGUAAACGAAUUACGGCAUUAUGUCGUGUCA